rnacentral:rRNA from 1 species
GACGAACGCUGGCGGCGUGCCUAAUACAUGCAAGUCGAACGAACCGCGACUAGGUGCUUGCACUUGGUCAAGGUGAGUGGCGAACGGGUGAGUAACACGUGGGUAACCUACCUCAUAGUGGGGGAUAACAGUCGGAAACGACUGCUAAUACCGCAUAGGACAUAGGAUCACAUGAUUCUGUGAGGAAAGGUGGCGCAAGCUAUCGCGAAGAGAUGGACCCGCGGUGCAUUAGCUAGUUGGUAGGGUAAAGGCCUACCAAGGCGAUGAUGCAUAGCCGACCUGAGAGGGUGAUCGGCCACAUUGGAACUGAGACACGGCCCAAACUCCUACGGGAGGCAGCAGUAGGGAAUCUUCCGCAAUGGACGCAAGUCUGACGGAGCAACGCCGCGUGAGUGAAGAAGGUCUUCGGAUCGUAAAGCUCUGUUGUUAGAGAAGAACAGCGCAUAGAGUAACUGUUAUGCGUGUGACGGUAUCUAACCAGAAAGCCACGGCUAACUACGUG